rnacentral:tRNA from 1 species
GGCCGUGUGCCCGAGUGGUUCAGGGACUCGCCCGCGCUGCAUCCGUCAGCGAGCUCCGCUCGCGGGGAGUCACGCGGGUCCGAUUCCCACCACGGCCG